rnacentral:lncRNA from 1 species
CCCCCUCAAGUCGGCCCUCCCGGUCGGUCGACUGUUGCAGCUGGUCGACCAAGAUGACUUUGUCGGCUUCAAGGCCCGCGACCUUGUCUCUCCAGGCCGUGCGCAUGUCGCCGAACUUUCUGUAUCCGACCUCUAACUCGGAUAUGUUGAAGACCAGCUGCACAGAAUAAAAACCGACCGUUAAGGGACCAAACUUACGGAAGCUGCAUUAAAAAGCAAGGGAAAGGGG